rnacentral:tRNA from 1 species
GGAGGUAUGGUUCAAAGAGUACUUGCUUGGUAAGCAUCUGGCCCUGAGUUCAAACCUCAGUACUGCUC